rnacentral:lncRNA from 1 species
GGUUUCUAGUCAAUAUUAUUGCAAAGUUCUGUCGGCAACGUUUUAAUUUAAUUGUAUAAUAGUAUGGUGCCACUUCUUAGUUGUCCUUGUAUCUAGCUCUUGGUACAUGUUUAUCUAUAGACUCGUAGUGUUGGUCUUUAUUUGGCUUUGUCCUCGAUCAAUGAUACAGAGGAACACAUCUCUCUGAAAGCAGUAUCAUCUGUUCUAAACAUUGGAGUUGACACCAUUUGGUAUACAAAGACCAUAGUUAGUGGAAUUAAAAAUUAAAACCAGAACCUUCGCCCCUCUGUUUGGCUCAUCAUGUUUUUUUUUAUAUAUUUACAGUUGAAAAUAUUGCUAUUCCAUGAAGAUCUAAGAUCUAACAUAACCCAUCUGAUGAUAAACUUACCCCAUUAUGAAAAACCUGUUCUUUUUUCAAUUCCCCAUGCUUUUUCAAAUUCAGUUAAGGAUUUGUAUCCAAAGGUAUUUUUGUUUAAUUACUAUCAUUGCCCUUCAAAUCCUUCAAACCGAACAAUUCACGUGCGACCCAGUGACAAGCCAUUUAUACUUUUUGUGCCGACCUUGAAAUAUCUUGACUGUCCACACUAAAAAAAUGAAAAUUGCAGUAAUUAAUGUCACAUACGUUUUAUUACUCCUUUGUGUUGGAUUAAUGCACUACGUCAAUUCAAUUUUAGAAUGUUUCAAAAGUUCAAAAAGUAUGGAAAGUUUCAAAAAUUGUCACACGGGCAGGUGAUCGUCAUAUAUUUUUCAGACUUGACAAGUAUGCAUUCUGGUGGUGAAUGAAUUCCCGCCUUUUCACAAGGGCGGAGAACUAGCAGAUAUUUCUUUUAUUUUUAUAUCGUCUAUGUUCCAGUUAUAGUACAAGGGUAUUUAAUUGUCCACAUGAUACCUUUACUAGCAAAUGUUUUAGGUUCCGUGUUUCUUACCAGGUUAAAUGUAUCAUUCGACCUCAGGAUACAUGUAUAAAUUCCACUUGAAUACUUGAGUUAGUCAAGGUUAACUUCUGUUAACAUUUCAUUUACCAUACGACAAAUUGUCCAAAAGUUAU